GUAUUCUAGAAAGUCAGCAGGGAGAGGAGACUACAAAGCUGUGAAUGCCUUGGUGGCCCACCGUGUGAGAAACUUAGGGAUAUGGGGGUGCUCUAAGGAGAAUCUAUGCUCUUAGAAGCCUCUCCGAGAGGCCACAGAGCACACAAAGAGGUGGGAGGAUGUUGGGGCCUGAGCCCCAGCCAGCCCUGCUCAAGGGACCAGCAGUGAGGACUGCGGGCUGCCCCAAGGUGCUGGCACAGGAAAGUACCAGAAUAUCAGCCUAUCAAGUCUUAUAGAGAAUACCUUCCUAGUUCCAGAAAUGAUACUGGUCACAAGGUGCAGAGAAUCAUAGAGAGGGCAGCAUGGAGGACUCAGCCUGCCUUUGCUGGCUUUCAAGACUUAAGAAGAGCCACAAGCCAAGGAAUAGAACAGCCUCUAGAAGCUGGAAAAGUCAAGAAAUGGGUUCUCUCCUAAGUCCCCCAGAAUGAACACAGCCCUGUGAACCCUUUGAUCUUAGCUUAAACAAGAGGAGAAACUGUGUUGGA